AGCAGCCGCCACGGGAAUACAGAGGGUGCGAGCGUUAAUCGGAUUUACUGGGCGUAAAGCGUGCGUAGGCGGCUUUUUAAGUCGGAUGUGAAAUCCCUGAGCUUAACUUAGGAAUUGCAUUCGAUACUGGGAAGCUAGAGUAUGGGAGAGGAUGGUAGAAUUCCAGGUGUAGCGGUGAAAUGCGUAGAGAUCUGGAGGAAUACCGAUGGCGAAGGCAGCCAUCUGGCCUAAUACUGACGCUGAGGUACGAAAGCAUGGGGAGCAAACAGGAUUAGAUACCCGUGUAGUCCCUGUCUCUUAUAC
rnacentral:rRNA from 1 species